rnacentral:lncRNA from 1 species
UUUGACAAAUAAACUAUUUUAAUUAACAAAAUCUUGUAAAAUUUACCUCAAAUGAACUCAUCCGAAACGGACAUUAAAAAGAAAGAAGCCUAGCCCCAAUUUUUACGUCAAACUGUGAAAUUUUAUAUUCCACUUUGGUUUCAUUAAUAAACGCAAAUCAAUUGGUUGUCCUAUUUUUUUUUUAAUAAACCAAAAUCAAACCACUCUUGAUAAAAAAAUAAAUAAUAAAUUUACUAGAUCAAGUUGAACGUUUUGUGGUUCAAUUAAAUUUUUUUCUCACCCAAAAAGAAUCGGUUAUCCAUUGCAUUUAUUGAUCUAGGGACCCCACUCCACCCACAUAAGCAUUAAUUAAUUCUUCUUUAUUUUAGUUUUCUACAUGAACACGAGUGUCGGUUGCAAUUUAC